CACGUAGUUAGCCGGGGCUUCUUAGCCAGGUACCGUCUUUCUUCUUCCCUGCUGAUAGAGCUUUACAUACCGAAAUACUUCUUCACUCACGCGGCGUCGCUGCAUCAGGGUUUCCCCCAUUGUGCAAUAUUCCCCACUGCUGCCUCCCGUAGGAGUUUGGGCCGUGUCUCAGUCCCAAUGUGGCCGGUCGCCCUCUCAGGCCGGCUACUGAUCGUCGCCUUGGUGGGCCGUUACCUCACCAACUAGCUAAUCAGACGCGGGUCCAUCUCAUACCACCGGAGUUUUUCACACUCUGUCACUCGACAAUGUGCGCUUAUGCGGUUUUAGCAGUCAUUUCUAACUGUUAUCCCCCUGUAUGAGGCAGGUUACCCACGCGUUACUCACCCGUCCGCCGCUAAGGUUUAUUGCUUCCAUCCGAAAACUUCCGCUUUAAACCUCCGCUCGACUUGCAUGUGUUAAGCACGCCGCCAGCGUUCAUCCUGAGCCAGGAUCAAACUCU
rnacentral:rRNA from 1 species